rnacentral:rRNA from 1 species
GGCUCAGUAACACGUGGAGAACCUACCCUCAGAUGGGGGAUAAUCCAGGGAAACUGGGAAUAAUACCCCAUAGGUCUCGAUUGCUGGAAUGCUUUGAGGCUGAAAGUUCCGACGUCUGAGGAUGGCUCUGCGGCCUAUCAGGUAGUAGUGAGGGUAACGUCCUCACUAGCCGAUGACGGGUACGGGCGUUGAGAGACGGAGCCCGGAGAUGGACUCUGAGACACGAGUCCAGGCCCUACGGGGCGCAGCAGGCGCGAAACCUCCGCAAUGCUCGAAAGAGUGACGGGGAGAUUCCAAGUGCCUACGCUUCGCGUAGGCUGUUCAGAUGCCUAAAAAGCAUUUGGAGGAAGGACUGGGUAAGACGGGUGCCAGCCGCCGCGGUAAUACCCGCGGUUCGAGUGGUGGUCGAUUUUAUUGGGCCUAAAGCGUCCGUAGCCUGUCUGGUAAAUGCCUGGGUAAAUCGUCUGGCUCAACCAAACGAAUUCCGGGUAGACUACUAGACUUGGGACCGGUUGAGGGAGAGGGUACUUCAGGGGUAGGAGUGAAAUCUUGUAAUCCCUGAAGGACCACCAGUGGCGAAGGCGCUCUCCUAGAACGGGUCCGACGGUGAGGGACGAAAGCCAGGGGAGCAAACCGGAUUAGAUACCCGGGUAGUCCUGGCCGUAAACGAUGCGGGCUUUGCAUUGGGGAUCCUACGAGGGUGCCCAGUGCCGGAGCGAAGGCGUUAAGCCCGUCGCCUGGGAAGUAUGGUCGCAAGGCUGAAACUUAAAGGAAUUGGCGGGGGAGCACCGCAAUGGGAGGAGCGUGCGGUUUAAUUGGAGUCAACGCCGGA